UCAGUUGGAACGGCUUACCGCAGAAGAGGCAUCGCUAUCUCGUGCCAGGCAGGCCGCGGUAAUACGGAGGGGUGCCAAAGCGUUAAUCGGGAAAUUACUGGGGCGUAAAGCGCACGCAGGGCGGUCAAAUUAAAGUCAGAUGUGAAAGCCCCCGAGCUUUAAACUUGGGAAUUUGCAUCUGAAACUGGUUGGGCUAGAGUCUUGUAGAGGGGGGGUAGAAUUUCCAUGUGUAGCGGUGAAAUGCGUAGAGAUGUGGAGGAAUACCGGUGGCGAAGGCGGCCCCCUGGACAAAGACUGACGCUCAGGUGCGAAAGCGUGGGGAGCAAACAGGAUUAGAUACCCUGGUAGUCCACGCUGUAAACGAUGUCGAUUUAGAGGUUGUGGUCUUGAACCGUGGCUUCUGGAGCUAACGCGUUAAAUCGACCGCCUGGGGAGUACGGCCGCAAGGUUAAAACUCAAAUGAAUUGACGGGGGCCCGCACAAGCGGUGGAGCAUGUGGUUUAAUUCGAUGCAACGCGAAGAACCUUACCUACUCUUGACAUCCAGCGAAUCCUUUAGAGAUAGAGGAGUGCCUUCGGGAACGCUGAGACAGGUGCUGCAUGGCUGUCGUCAGCUCGUGUUGUGAAAUGUUGGGUUAAGUCCCGCAACGAGCGCAACCCUUAUCCUUUGUUGCCAGCACGUAAUGGUGGGAACUCAAAGGAGACUGCCGGUGAUAAACCGGAGGAAGGUGGGGAUGACGUCAAGUCAUCAUGGCCCUUACGAGUAGGGCUACACACGUGCUACAAUGGCAGAUACAAAGAGAAGCGACCUCGCGAGAGCAAGCGGAACUCAUAAAGUCUGUCGUAGUCCGGAUUGGAGUCUGCAACUCGACUCCAUGAAGUCGGAAUCGCUAGUAAUCGUAGAUCAGAAUGCUACGGUGAAUACGUUCCCGGGCCUUGUACACACCGCCCGUCACACCAUGGGAGUGGGUUGCAAAAGAAGUAGGUAGCUUAACCUUCGGGAGGGCGCUCACCAUAGAGUAGACC
rnacentral:rRNA from 1 species